GGUAGUGUGGCCAAGUGGUCAAAGGCGCUGGAUUAAGGCUCCAGUCUCCACAGAGGCAUGGGUUCAAAUCACACCACUACCA